UACCUGGUGUGGAUUGAAGUUUGGAGAGUCACUUCGCCUCCACUCUUCUCCUAAUCAGCUCUGUUCCUGGCGUGGUCUUCCAGGAUAGACGCCAGAUAAAGGGGCAAGACGUGUGUUAAUAAUACUUAUUAACAUUAUUCUACAACUACCGGCCCUUACCUAUUCUACUUGUGCUCCAUCCAAGUGGUAGGAGAUUCCAGAACAUCGGAUUACCAUCUGCCCAGGAUAACCUACAUAAAUAACAUCAGAGGAACUAUCCAGGGCCAUACCUACUCCUACCCAACUACAAGAACUGAAGGCCAAUUUUUUUUUUCAUUAUAUUUAAAUUUUAAGUAAAAUUCUCAAAUCAUUUUUCUUGUUUUUCCUAAAUCAUUUCUUUAUUUAUUUUUCCAUUAGUUUCUUCUGUUCAGUUGGAAGGCGUUCCACUGACAAUGGCGACCUUGCCAGGAUCCGACUCUUGAAGCAACAUCGUCCUGAUGGUUCAACUGGUUGUGAGUAUAACAUUUAAGAUAGAAAAGGCUCUGUUCCUGGCGUGGUCUUCCAGGAUAGACGCCAGAUAAAGGGGCAAGACGUGUGUUAAUAAUACUUAUUAACAUUAUUCUACAACUACCGGCCCUUACCUAUUCUACUUGUGCUCCAUCCAAGUGGUAGGAGAUUCCAGAACAUCGGAUUACCAUCUGCCCAGGAUAACCUACAUAAAUAACAUCAGAGGAACUAUCCAGGGCCAUACCUACUCCUA